rnacentral:rRNA from 1 species
GUACGGCCGCAAGGCUGAAACUUAAAGGAAUAGGCGGGGGAGCACUACAACGGGUGGAGCCUGCGGUUUAAUUGGAUUCAACGCCGGAAAUCUCACCGGGGGCGACAGCAUGAUGAAGGCCAGGCUGAAGACCUUGCCUGAUCCGCUGAGAGGUGGUGCAUGGCCGUCGUCAGUUCGUACUGUGAAGCAUCCUGUUAAGUCAGGCAACGAGCGAGACCCACGCCCACAGUUGCCAGCGAGCCCUUCGGGGUGGCGGGUACUCUGUGGGGACCGCCGCUGCUAAAGCGGAGGAAGGAAUGGGCAACGGUAGGUCAGUAUGCCCCGAAUCUCCCGGGCUACACGCGGGCUACAAUGGUCGGUACAAUGGGUAUCUACCCCGAGAGGGGAUGGAAAUCUCCUAAAACCGGUCGUAGUUCGGAUUGAGGGCUGCAACUCGCCCUCAUGAAGCUGGAAUCCGUAGUAAUCGCGUUUCAACAGAACGCGGUGAAUACGUCCCUGCUCCUUGCACACACCGCCCGUCAAACCACCCGAGUAGGGUCUGGAUAAGGGUGCGCCAUGUUGACGCAUUCGAAUCUGGGCUUUGCAAGGGGGGUUAAGUCGUAACAAGGUAACCAAGGGCGAAU